CCGUGCGUGCCACAUCGCGGUAUCCGGUAUGGCCCGCCGACUCUGCCGGCUCCCUCGCCUCUUUCCCCUCGUCUCCCCCGCAUCCGCCGCCGCCGCCGCCCCGAAACUCCACCACCUCCCCCCCUUCGCCGUAAACCCUAGCCCCGCGCCCCUGCCCCCCUCCUCCUCCGCGUCGCCGUCUCCCGCGUUCCCCCCGCUCUCUCGCCUCUUCUCCUCCUCCGCGGGCGGUUCCAGCUCCAGCAUGGUGGUCGUGGGCUCAGCGGACUCCUUCGCCAGCAUCCUCUCCAAGGUUCAAGAUGAGAAGCUGCCGGCUGUGUUCUACUACACGGCAGUGUGGUGCGGACCGUGUAGGGCAAUCGCGCCUUUCAUAUCAAAGCUGAGCGGCCAGUAUCCGAGCAUACCGGUGUAUAAAGUUGACAUUGAUAUGGAAGGACUUGGAAGCAAGCUUGGUGAUCUCAAAGUAUACUCGGUGCCUACGUUCCAUUUCUAUCAUAAAGGGCAAAAGACUAAUGAAAUUGUGGGUGCUGACGCCAAGAAGCUCGAAGUGGCUAUGGAGAGUCUCCACAAGCAACAGUAGCUCCAGAAAAGAGCCUUGCGCCAGGGGACACUGUGUCCUACAUCUACCUAUCAUGAGGAAGCAUUGCUCACUUUUGGCUUCGUAUUUUCUUAUGUUUUAGGGUGUUAAGCUAGCGCUUCAUGCGAAGGCUUGGAUUGAUCUCCGUAUUACUACAACGAUGCAUCAAUCAACGGCCGGUGACUAAUUUCGUGUCUUAUUUUCAAAUGUGGUGUAGCGUUUUUACCCCUUAAUCUUAAUGAAUGAUUAAGGUUGUGUUGGGUUUCGAGACAAUACGAUAUAUGACGGUUCCGUACCUAUCGUGGGAUGGGAUCAUCAAAUUUCAAGUUUGUGGGAUGGGAUAGUCCAAUUUCGAGUUGUUUGAAAA